rnacentral:rRNA from 1 species
GACGAACGCUGGCGGCGUGCUUAACACAUGCAAGUCGAACGGAAAGGCCCUGCUUUUGUGGGGUGCUCGAGUGGCGAACGGGUGAGUAACACGUGAGUAACCUGCCCUUGACUUUGGGAUAACUUCAGGAAACUGGGGCUAAUACCGGAUAGGAGCUCCUGCUGCAUGGUGGGGGUUGGAUAGUUUCGGCGGUUGGGGAUGGACUCGCGGCUGAUCAGCUUGUUGGUGGGGUAGUGGCUUACCAAGGCUUUGACGGGUAGCCGGCCUGAGAGGGGGACCGGCCACAUUGGGACUGCGAUACGGCCCAGAGUCCUACGGGAGGCAACAGUGGGGAGUAUUGUACAAUGGGCGGAAGCCUGAUGCAGCAACGCCGCGUGCGGGAUGACGGCCUUCGGGUUGUAAACCGCUUUAGCCUGUGACGAAGCGUGAGUGACGGUAAUGGGUAAAGAAGCACCGGCUAACUACGUG